rnacentral:rRNA from 1 species
UGGGGAAUAUUGCACAAUGGGCGCAAGCCUGAUGCAGCCAUGCCGCGUGUAUGAAGAAGGCCUUCGGGUUGUAAAGUACUUUCAGUCGGGAGGAAGGUGUCAAGGUUAAUAACCUUAUCAAUUGACGUUACCGACAGAAGAAGCACCGGCUAACUCCGUGCCAGCAGCCGCGGUAAUACGGAGGGUGCAAGCGUUAAUCGGAAUUACUGGGCGUAAAGCGCACGCAGGCGGUUGAUUGAGUCAGAUGUGAAAUCCCCGGGCUUAACCCGGGAAUUGCAUCUGAUACUGGUCAGCUAGAGUCUUGUAGAGGGGGGUAGAAUUCCAUGUGUAGCGGUGAAAUGCGUAGAGAUGUGGAGGAAUACCGGUGGCGAAAGCGGCCCCCUGGACAAAGACUGACGCUCAGGUGCGAAAGCGUGGGGAGCAAACAGG